rnacentral:sRNA from 1 species
AUGCAGAAAGUAUCAAUGUUGAAUAGUAUUAGUUAUCACCAGAGCCCCAAUCACACGAGGAUACAGAGACAGGACAAUACCGCUGAGUCCCAGCAGCAACCAACGUUGGACAACGCUGCUGGCCACCAAGAAACUGGGGCAGACCAUCCUCUUGUGGAAACAGAGGAACAGAUUCACUUGAGUGAAACCAACCUACCAGCUGAGGACGUGCAGGUUCAUUUUAACGAGCCUGCAAUCACCGAAGAAGCAGACCCACAAACAGAAAACAGUGAAAACAUCCCAGCUGAGGAUACAGAGCAUCAACACAUUGAUUCUCGAGACGCAGAGAGAACCGAAGAUCAGCAGUUUUCUGAACAACUUUAUAUCAGUGAUAGCAUUCCAUUAGACUCAAUUAACCUAACAAACAUGGCUACUAUUGCCCAAUUAUCAAAAUUUAAUGGCACUGAAUCACCAUGUAUUUGGUUAUCCAAGCUCAGUGCGUGGCAGAAGUUCCAUAGGAUCACUGACAAUGCUGUUCUUGACUAUAUUCCUUGUCUUCUAGAAGGCAGCGCUGGAACCUGGUUUCAGACCAUCAACCCAGGACAGUUUCAAAACUUACAAGGGUUCAAGGAUCUUUUAAGUGAAAGAUUUAAACCAUCUGCGCACAAGACUGCCAUGCUUAAUAUAAAGCAAGAACCCAAUGAAACAUGUGAACAAUAUCUUGAGAGGGCAGAACGACUGGCCUUGGCUCAUCAUGAUCUCGACGAAGCCUACAAGGUCCAGUUUAUUGCAAAUGGACUUAACACAAACCUAAGAGGGCGUGUUCUGGCCAGGGAACCUCAGACUUUUCAAGUGCUGCGUAAAGACAUUUCCCUGGUCCAACUUGAACUAGGAUGUGACCAGCAUGUGUCCUUCAUGACUCCCAACACCUCGUUUGACAUGACUGAACUAAGUAGGUCAAUAAAUAGCCACAUAGAGCAAACAGUCUCCACUCAGAUCAACGCCUUAGCAGACCGUCUUCAAGAGGCUCAACAUUUUGAUCGACGCAGAGAGGAAGAAAGACGAGAUCAAUACCGCGACAAUUCCAGAGGUCAACAUGAACGGUACCGAGACACUUACAGAGGUCAACACGAACGGUACCGAGAUGAUUCCAGAGGUCGACAUGAACAGUACCGAGAUGAUUCCAGAGAUCGACACAAUCAGUACAGUGACACUUCCAGAGGUCGUUACAAAUCCCCUUACCGUGACCACUCCAGAGGACGUGAUGGCUCCCGACGCAGAAGUUUUGAACCCAGGGAAGAUUUCAGGGACUUCAGCAGUGAUCGGUCUAGAAACUCAAACUUUCGCCACAACAAUUCACCACAAAACCGGAAUCGACGAGACUCGACUCCAGGCCGACACCCAGAAAGGAGACGCAUGAGUGAGGGAGAGAGCUCCAUGCAGCAUCACUCUGAGCAUCACACUAACCACAACCCUAACCACCAUUCCACUACUAAUGCUUCCUCUUCCCAGUCCAAACCCUCAACUAACAAACGGUUACCAACUAGUGCUAACAAAACUCAAAACCCUCCAUCAAAACGACAUUCAACAUCUCCAUCGUCAAGAAAUGUCAACCUCAUCAUCCCAGUCGAAAAGAAUACAGUCAAUGUGACUAUUUACAGAAGACAUUUCAGAGCUUUGGUAGACACCGGUGCAAGUAUUUCCUGUAUUAGUGCUCAACUCCUAACAAAACUUGGUAUUACCCGAGGCCAACUAAAUACUUCCAACAUUAAAGAUGCAGUCGCUGUUGGGGGUGAACGACAUGCAAGCCUUGGUGCUAUAACUCUUCCUGUGUCAUUCAAUGGACCCAUCAUUAACCAUAAAUUCCAUGUGUUUCAAUCCUUUCACCAACCUCUAAUUCUUGGAUUGGACUUUCUUCAAGCAAAUGAUGGAAUUUUCAAUGCAGAAAACAACACUCUUUAUGUGCGUGACUCAGAAGAUACAGCAUAUGCCAUCGACACCAACACUGGACUUGCACGAGUUUCAAAAUUUACCAUAAUUCCAAAACAGUCUGUAACUUUACUUCCAGUGUUCCUAUCAAAUGUGCCCAAAGAUUCAUGUGUACUUCUCGAACCAAACCCAAAAUUACCAUCACUGCGACUUGCAGGUGCUAAAUGUAUAGUCGACACUAAAGACAACAAAGCCUUUAUUCAAGUCAUCAACCCAACAACAAAACGAGUCAGAAUCAAUGCAACUACAGUGAUCGCAUCAGCAACAAUCGUCGAUCCAGCCACUGUGAUCACCAUGGAGACUUCUGAAGAUAACCAGACCAUCUUUCCUAAUACAAUUGUAAGGUCUCGGAUCCAUGCAAAUCGACUCAAACACUAUGAGAAGCCAGAGCAUCGUAAGGUUCUAAAUCCACCACCACCAGAGAUACCCAUUGAUGAUUCCCACUUGCCUCCACAACAUCGCAACCCUCAAGGUGCUGAAAAUGAUGCUCGAGAAGAUGAGUUGCAGCCAACAGGUGAAACCAAUACGGAAGCACACACAACUCCUGAUAUGGAGGAACUUCAUAAUAAUGAUCAGCCUUCUGCAGCACCUGAACCUCAACAUCCAAGGAGAGACCAAAACAAAACAGAGAAACAAGGAGAUGAUCAAUCAGAAGAUGAAAAUCAAGAAGAGGAUAACAAUACAAAUGAAGAUGAAAGUCAAGGAUAUGUUGAGAAACUGAUGCAAUACAAACUUGUCGAUGGAAAGAAAUUCUUCCUCGUUAAAUGGCAAGGGAGCAGCGUUAAAACCUGGGAGCCGGAAGAGCAUAUCAAUGCAGAUCUUAUCCGCCAAUAUCAUAUUACCAGGACACAGACCGGUGGAUCUGGACAAAAGAAGAACCUCGGAUCAUCACCAUAUAUGUAUAUGUACAUAAUCAGCUGCCUCUGCCUCACAUCUGUCUGUGCAACUGCGCCUUUACCAUCAGAUCAACAUAUUCAAAGAAUAAACUACGGCAUACUAUUCGAGAAAACUAGCGACAUCUACCUUGGACAAGAGUACUGGCUGCAUACAUUUCGAAUUCCUCUUCCAAAGAAAUUGCACCUACAGCCUCUAUACUGCAACAUGCCACAAUGUCAAACUGCAGGACACAUCAUAAAAUCACUGAAUCUCCUAAGAAUGCAGUGUAUGGCCAGUGUUAAUUCAACAGUCCAUCACAUUCACCAACUGGUACCAACCUCUGAACUUCCUCCUUCACGAAAAUACAUAGGUUCAUCAAGAUCAAAGCGAGGACUGUUUGACUUUGUUGGUAAAAUUUCGAAGUCACUAUUUGGAACAGCCACUUCAGGUGAUAUCGCUACUCUACAACGCCAUAUGCAAACACUGAUCAACAACAACGUCAAGCUUGCCAAAGCCAUGGCCCAACAAGACCACCACCUCUCGUCAUUCAUCGAAGCCGUGGACAAAAGAUUCAACAAUGUUGUUGCUGCUGUUAGACAAAAUCACCAAGAUGCUGUGUCACUUUCAGUGUUAGCACACAACUCAAUGGAUGCUUUAGAUCAUGAAUUUCUCAUCCUAAGUGAACUCAUCAUUAAGCAGACCAACGUUUCGGCUCAAUUAGAAAAGGAGUUAGAACAUAUUAAACUAGGACUUCACGAUUUGGUGAAAGGCAAGCUAUCCCCAUUCCUCCUGACACCACAUAUUCUGAAAUCAUCCAUCGAUCAAGUCCAAAGCAUCAUUUCGGCCAAAUUCCCAAAAUUCCAUAUUUCCAAUAAGGAUCCUCUCUUUUAUUAUUCCAUGGGAGAAUUUUUGUUCACUAGAUUACACACAGAACUAUACUUGACCUUAAAAAUACCAAUCUCCCCAUUUCAACAGCCAAUGUCAAUGUAUAAAGUCUACACAUUUCCAGUUCCUGUUAACUCUAGCUCCAACCAUGCCACUCAGCUCAUCGAUCUGCCACCAUACUUUCUACACACAGCUGACAACCAACACCAUGCCACAAUCACCUCUCAGCAGUUAACACUGUGUGAAGGAACCUCAACCCGUUACUGCAACUUCAAUAUUGCAAUGAAAGCAACAGCCUCUCCAAAAUCCAUGAUCGCGGGACAAGUCAAUUUUGCAGUGGACAAUUGGCCAGACACAAGUGGUAUCCUGGCCAUCGUUUCCACAUCUGUUGGAUUCUUUGGACUCAUCUUUAGCAUCUGGUCAUGCUACAAAAUCCGAACCGUCCUGCUUCCUGUGUUGUUGCUCCAUCAAGUGAAACCAUCAGCUGCCGCAACCAUUAAACCAACUUUAUCCUUCAUCUAUAAUCAGGCUGAAGAUGACACACCAGCGACCAGUGUUAAUGAACACUUUUAUGCCACUUUUUCCACUCCUUGGCCUUAUGUUUCCCUUUCUGUGCUAACAACAAUCCUUGUUAUUGCAUGCAUUACUCACCUAUGGCAAAAAUAUCAACGUUCACACAAAACUUCACUUCAUUUAGAACUAACAACUGGACCUACUUGUGAACUUUCACUCUACUAA